UAGGGANUCUUCGGCAAUGGGGGCAACCCUGACCGAGCAACGCCGCGUGAGUGAAGAAGGUUCUCGGAUCGUAAAGCUCUGUUGUAAGUCAAGAACGAGUGUGAGAGUGGAAAGUUCACACUGUGACGGUAGCUUACCAGAAAGGGACGGCUAACUACGUGCCAGCAGCCGCGGUAAUACGUAGGUCCCGAGCGUUGUCCGGAUUUAUUGGGCGUAAAGCGAGCGCAGGCGGUUUGAUAAGUCUGAAGUUAAAGGCUGUGGCUCAACCAUAGUUCGCUUUGGAAACUGUCAAACUUGAGUGCAGAAGGGGAGAGUGGAAUUCCAUGUGUAGCGGUGAAAUGCGUAGAUAUAUGGAGGAACACCGGUGGCGAAAGCGGCUCUCUGGUCUGUAACUGACGCUGAGGCUCGAAAGCGUGGGGAGCGAACAGGAUUAGAUACCCUGGUAGUCCACGCCGUNNNGAUGAGUGCUAGGUGUUGGAUCCUUUCCGGGAUUCAGUGCCGCAGCUAANGCAUUAAGCACUCCGCCUGGGGAGUACGACCGCAAGGNU
rnacentral:rRNA from 1 species